GCUGCAAACAGCCAAAGUCACUUGUUCCACUUAUCUUUCCUAGUCUUCCCUCUUCUGUUGCCAGCUGCACCACUUUGCCUACUGAAUUUCACUCUCUUCCUUCCUGGCUCUUCCUUUUUGUGGUAGCU